UACGGGGGGGAGCAAGCGUUAAUCGGAAUUACUGGGCGUAAAGCGUGCGCAGGCGGUUUUGUAAGCCAGAUGUGAAAGCCCCGGGCUUAACCUGGGAAUGGCAUUUGGGACUGCAAGGCUUGAGUGCGGCAGAGGAGACUGGAAUUCCUGGUGUAGCAGUGAAAUGCGUAGAUAUCAGGAGGAAUACCGAUGGCGAAGGCAGGUCUCUGGGCUGACACUGACGCUCAUGCACGAAAGCGUGGGGAGCAAACAGG
rnacentral:rRNA from 1 species